ensembl:lncRNA
GAUGGCCUUUGUAUGUGUGUGUGUGUGUGUGUGGACUUCAUUGCUAGUCAAAGAGGAAGAGAGAGAAUAUUUGUGUGUUAAUGUGAGGAUAUGAAAUCACAACCCACCAUCACGUCGGUUGAAUUCUUAAGCAAUUUGCACAAAUUUUAUUAGUGCAGGAAAAACACAGUACAGGGGUGUUUCAUGUGCAUACUCUCUCCCAACACCAUCUCUAUAUAAUAUAUUUAUAUAUACCAAACCUCCCCCACCUUUCAUAGUUUGAAAUGCCAAAACACAGAAGGGGGAAUUAAAGCAAUAAAACAACAACACACAAUAAAUCUCAUCAAAUGCGACAUCAAUUUGAAAUACAGAUGUAGGAUCUUAAUUUGAGGCAGUUUGGUACAGCAGGAAAAUAAUCCUGACGCAAUGGUAAAUGUGAAUUAUUAUUAUGUAUUAUAAUGAAUGGACAUUUUUGUAAGGGUUGAUACAUUUUACGUAAGGGAAAAUCAAGUCUAAAAUUUCAAAGUGGAAAUGUUAAACCUCAAACUACAAGCUUUAAAUGUCCUGCAUUGCAGGAAGGUUCUCUUGCAACAGGGUGAUUAAACUGAAGAUCCUACAACUGUACAAAAAAAAAAAUGUUUAAAAAAAGAUUUAGGUAUUGUAGGUAGUGAGAUAUUCACAUAAAUAAACCAACAUACAUAAUUAAAACAUCAUCAAUAAAUAACACAUUGAUAAUCAAUUUAAUUAAAUAACUAAAUAUAGCUGGACAAUAUAAGUAUUGAUUGAUCCUAACCCAGUUCACUUGGGGUGGGUUCUAUGCGGCUUCCUGAUUGAGGGUCAAUCCCAAACGACACCCUAUUCCCUAGAUAGUGCGGCAUUUUUUUUUGUACCAUACUAUUCCCUAGAUAGUGCACUACUUCGACCAAACUACUCCCUAGAUAGUGAAUUAUUUUGGAACAAUCUGUUCUCUAGAAUAGUGCACUACUAACCCUUAUGUAUUGUAGUGCACUGUCUAGUGAAAGGGGUGGCAUUUGAGCUGCAGAUUCCCUGAAAUGACUGGUGAGCUCUCUGUGUUUGUGGGGCCUCCUUACUGGGUUAGUCUAUUGCUUAUAAGUUUAUAAAUUGCCUGGCUGGGCUGAUGAGACAGUGGAUUGCGCAGUCAGAUGGGACAGAGUAAACAGGCAUUUUUCACGUCAUAGAUUUAGCCGGUGGCAACUCGUGGAAUAGACACCGGCUGGAAUGCGGUUUUAACCAAUAACCAAGGAUUAGACCCACCCGUUGUAUAAAUGUAUUGGCUACUAGAACGCGACUUCCAGUCAUAUAAGGGUUGGGUGAACAGUAUAUGGUGUUUUAUGUUUGAGUCUAAUGUUAAUUCCAAGUUGUAUAUCUGUGUAUAUCCAAAGAUCCAUGUCGCCAGCAAACUUCUACUCCUACCUCCUUAGUACAGUAGGUAAGCCUUGUCCGAGCCAGAACGGCCCAUUGGGCAGGAAGCCUAUAUCUCCUGUUUCGGUAGUGUGAAGCAGCUUGAUAUACAAGGACACUGGUAGUCCUUAGUGUGAAGUACAAUAAUAUAUUUGCAAAGCAUACUCAACAGUAUGCUAGUAUGGAUAAUGGGACAACACAUUGUUUACGGGAUGUGCUCUUGUCAGGAAUGACAUCAACAGGGUUUUUAAGGAGGAGAGCAGAAUUGUUUACUAAAGACAUUUUGGACCCUUCCGUAUAUGCCCCUUGAAGAAUCCAUUAUGCAUUCCAUUGCAUUCAGAACCACAAUAACCAAGACAGGCUUUCAUCACAUCAUCCAUCCAGUCACUGUAGCACUAUGUUCUUGAAAUCAUCCAACAUUUGGUUGCUUUUAAGGGGAGAAGUGGAAUGGGGUCAUGUUAACAAAGAAAGAAAAAAAAAACGACCAUAGCCCGGAUUUUAAAUGGGGCAAUCUCUGAUUAGAUACAACCAGCUAACUAGCUCUGGACACUUAGUUAGCAAGCGUCUAAGAGUAGGAGUGCUGAUCUAGGAUCAGGUCUUCCACGUCCAUAAUGACAAUGACCUAAAAGGCUAAGCUGAUCCCAGAUCCACAUUCCUACUCUGAGUGAGGGGUUCUUAGAAAAAGUCUUAAGUUAAAUAUCCAUACAUAAGAACUAGUAAAAGACAAGCGUAAAUGAGAAAAGACUAAGAAGGAGGUGGGUAUUUAAGGUGUGGAUAAUAGAAAGAGGGAGGAUCU